CAGGUGUGAACGUACCGAAGACGCAUCGAGGACACAUUGAGAUCAGCUCUUUCAGAUCACAUUCAGAGGUGGUCUGGGCCACAUAUGACCACAUUCUUUUAGCAGUGUCUAGUGAAUGUGUCCUGGGCCACAUUAAGGACCGCCUACUCAUCUGAUGUCCAGCUGGGAUCCGCGGGAUCACCGCG